rnacentral:misc_RNA from 1 species
UUUCAGUAGGUGAACCUGCGGAAGGAUCAUUCAUAAUAAAGUGUUUUAUGGCACUUUUUAAAAAUCCAUAUCCACCUUGUGUGCAAUGUUAGAUCUCGUCAAUCUUGGCGAGAUUUUUAUACAUCAACUCAUUCUUUAACUAAUUUGUCUGAAAAAUAUUAUGAAUACUUAAUUCAAAAUACAACUUUCAACAACGGAUCUCUUGGCUCUC